rnacentral:piRNA from 2 species
UGUGUCCUUCAGGAGACCUUUGUUCCCAUA